UACAGAGGGGCAAGCGUUGUUCGGAAUUACUGGGCGUAAAGGGCGCGUAGGCGGCCUGUUAAGUCGAACGUGAAAUCCCCGGGCUCAACCCGGGAACUGCGUCCGAUACUGGCAGGCUUGAAUCCGGGAGAGGGAUGCGGAAUUCCAGGUGUAGCGGUGAAAUGCGUAGAUAUCUGGAGGAACACCGGUGGCGAAGGCGGCAUCCUGGACCGGCAUUGACGCUGAGGCGCGAAAGCCA
rnacentral:rRNA from 1 species